AACGAACGCUGGCGGCAUGCCUAACACAUGCAAGUCGAACGAGACCUUCGGGUCUAGUGGCGCACGGGUGCGUAACGCGUGGGAACCUGCCCUUAGGUUCGGAAUAACUCCCCGAAAGGGGUGCUAAUACCGGAUAAUGUCUUCGGACCAAAGAUUUAUCGCCUUUGGAUGGGCCCGCGUUGGAUUAGCUAGUUGGUAGGGUAAAAGCCUACCAAGGCGACGAUCCAUAGCUGGUCUGAGAGGAUGACCAGCCACACUGGGACUGGGACACGGCCCAGACUCCUACGGGAGGCAGCAGUGGGGAAUAUUGGACAAUGGGCGAAAGCCUGAUCCAGCAAUGCCGCGUGAGUGAUGAAGGCCUUAGGGUUGUAAAGCUCUUUUACCCGGGAUGAUAUUGACAGUACCGGGAGAAUAAGCUCCGGCUAACUCCGUG
rnacentral:rRNA from 1 species